rnacentral:rRNA from 1 species
UACGUAGGAGGCAAGCGUUGUCCGGAAUUACUGGGUGUAAAGCGCGUGUAGGCGGCAGGCCAAGUCUGUGGUGAAAUCGCUCGGCUCAACUGGGCGGGGUCCAUGGAAACUGGUCAGCUGGAGGACGGUAGAGGUGAGUGGAAUUCCCGGUGUAGUGGUGAAAUGCGUAGAGAUCGGGAGGAACACCCGUGGCGAAGGCGGCUCACUGGAUCUCUUCUGACGCUCAUGCACGAAAGCCAGGGGAGCGAACGGG